AUAAAAAUUUUGCUAAGAUCAUGUUUCAUAAAUGUCUUGAUUAUUUUGAGACGAAGCAGUUGAGCUUCACGAAUUCCAAUACACAAGUUUGGGGACUGACGCCUUAACACUGCGCUGCUACAACCAGUGCCGGGCUAAGGACUCCAAGGACACGGGACGAGAUCAUCCCUGAGCUUUACAUUGCAUCCCAGGAUGCCAGAUCAAGGCCUCCCAGGAGAGCUCUUCCUGCGAUACACAAAUGAUCCAUUUGGGCAGCCAGACCCUGAGACAUGGUCAAAGAGGUGCUAGUGCCCAUGGGCUCAAUUAUCAACCAGUCUGAGUGGGUAUACGUUCUUAGUGGCCUUGAGCCAGGCACUGAGUACACCCUUCGACUGGUUCUCACAGUGCAGGGAACUGAGCCAAUUCAUUCACAGAUGUUCACCUGCACCACCGCGGACGAAGGUGAGGAAGUCAUUUUUAGCUUGUCUUUUGCUUACGUGUUGUAGUACUAACUUUCAUUAUUCUUACAAUAACUUAUAUUAAUAUUUUUUCUCAAUGAAAACUUGCGUAUAAGAAAAGUAUUUAAACCCAGUGAAACAUAAUCUUCCUACUGAGAUUCAAAUCGUGAUCAGCCAUUAUAUUAAAAAAAAAGUACAUAUGAAAAUUUGGGAAAGAAAGACACAAGGAAUAAAUAAAUGCUACAUAUAAGAGAAAUUAAAUAACUUCAGCUGGGACAGUCUCCAUCAUAAUUAUGUUGAAACUGAUCUGCAUUGUAUUAUUAAAAUUUUGAUGGAUAGUCUCUCUGUACGCUACGAGGUAUUUUUGCCAGUCUCAGGCUGGGGAGUGACUGCUAAGUAACUGGCCCGCUGGAUGCUACACGGCGGAACAGACGACUUAUAUGUUUACAUGUGUGUGUG